AUUGAACGCUGGCGGCAGGCCUAACACAUGCAAGUCGAACGGUAACAGGGAUCAGCUUGCUGAUUCGCUGACGAGUGGCGGACGGGUGAGUAAUGUCUGGGAAACUGCCUGAUGGAGGGGGAUAACUACUGGAAACGGUAGCUAAUACCGCAUAACGUCGCAAGACCAAAGAGGGGGACCUUCGGGCCUCUUGCCAUCGGAUGUGCCCAGAUGGGAUUAGCUAGUAGGUGGGGUAACGGCUCACCUAGGCGACGAUCCCUAGCUGGUCUGAGAGGAUGACCAGCCACACUGGAACUGAGACACGGUCCAGCCUCCUACGGGAGGCAGCAGUGGGGAAUAUUGCACAAUGGGCGCAAGCCUGAUGCAGCCAUGCCGCGUGUAUGAAGAAGGCCUUCGGGUUGUAAAGUACUUUCAGCGGGGAGGAAGGGAGUAAAGUUAAUACCUUUGCUCAUUGACGUUACCCGCAGAAGAAGCACCGGCUAACUCCGUG
rnacentral:rRNA from 1 species